rnacentral:rRNA from 1 species
UGGCGGACGGGUGAGUAAUGUCUGGGAAACUGCCUGAUGGAGGGGGAUAACUACUGGAAACGGUAGCUAAUACCGCAUAACGUCGCAAGACCAAAGAGGGGGACCUUCGGGCCUCUUGCCAUCGGAUGUGCCCAGAUGGGAUUAGCUUGUUGGUGGGGUAACGGCUCACCAAGGCGACGAUCCCUAGCUGGUCUGAGAGGAUGACCAGCCACACUGGAACUGAGACACGGUCCAGACUCCUACGGGAGGCAGCAU